UGGGCAAUCUGCCCUUCACUCUGGGACAAGCCCUGGAAACGGGGUCUAAUACCGGAUAACACUCUGUCCCGCAUGGGACGGGGUUAAAAGCUCCGGCGGUGAAGGAUGAGCCCGCGGCCUAUCAGCUUGUUGGUGGGGUAAUGGCCUACCAAGGCGACGACGGGUAGCCGGCCUGAGAGGGCGACCGGCCACACUGGGACUGAGACACGGCCCAGACUCCUACGGGAGGCAGCAGUGGGGAAUAUUGCACAAUGGGCGAAAGCCUGAUGCAGCGACGCCGCGUGAGGGAUGACGGCCUUCGGGUUGUAAACCUCUUUCAGCAGGGAAGAAGCGAAAGUGACGGUACCUGCAGAAGAAGCGCCGGCUAACUACGUGCCAGCAGCCGCGGUAAUACGUAGGGCGCAAGCGUUGUCCGGAAUUAUUGGGCGUAAAGAGCUCGUAGGCGGCUUGUCACGUCGGAUGUGAAAGCCCGGGGCUUAACCCCGGGUCUGCAUUCGAUACGGGCUAGCUAGAGUGUGGUAGGGGAGAUCGGAAUUCCUGGUGUAGCGGUGAAAUGCGCAGAUAUCAGGAGGAACACCGGUGGCGAAUGCGGAUCUCUGGGCCAUUACUGACGCUGAGGAGCGAAAGCGUGGGGAGCGAACAGGAUUAGAUACCCUGGUAGUCCACGCCGUAACUGU
rnacentral:rRNA from 1 species